GAUGAAGAACGCAGCGAAGUGCGAUACUUGGUGUGAAUUGCAGAAUCCCGUGAACCAUCGAGUCUUUGAACGCAAGUUGCGCCCGAAGCCAUUAGGCCGAGGGCACGCCUGCCUGGGCGUCACACGUCGUUGCCCCCCCCAUCUACUCCUUCGGGAUUGCGGGGGGCGGAUGAUGGCCUCCCGUGCGCCUCGCCGCGCGGUUGGCAUAAAUGCCAAGUCCUCGGCGACGCACGCCACGACAAUCGGUGGUUGCGAAACCUCGGUUGCCCGUCGUGUGCGGUCGUCGCGCAUCGAGGGCUCGAAAAAAUUGCCGAGUUCCGGCUCGGCUUUCAACGCGACCCCAGGUCAGGCGGGGUUACCCGCUGAAUUUAAGCAUAUCAAUAAGCGGAGGA
rnacentral:misc_RNA from 1 species